CCAAUAGCGUAUAUUAAAGUUGCUGCAGUUAAAAAGCUCGUAGUUGAAUUUCGGGACCAAUAUGUCGGUCGUGCUUCGGUACGUACUUGCAUUAUUGGUUUCUCCCUUCUGACGAACCAUGAUGUCAUUAAUUUGGUGUCUUGGGGAAUCAGGACUGUUACUUUGAAAAAAUUAGAGUGUUUAAAGCAGGCUCACGCUUGAAUACAUUAGCAUGGAAUAAUGAAAUAGGACGUUUGAUUCUAUUUUGUUAGUUUCUAGGAUCGACGUAAUGAUUAAUAGGGAUAGUUGGGGGCAUUAGUAUUCAAUUGUCAGAGGUGAAAUUCUUGGAUUUAUUGAAGACUAACUACUGCGAAAGCAUUUGCCAAGGAUGUUUUCAUUAAUCAAGAACGAAAGUUAGGGGAUCGAAGACGAUCAGAUACCGUCGUAGUCUUAACCAUAAACUAUGCCGACUAGGGAUCGGAUGAUGUUAAUUUUUUAAUGACUCAUUCGGCGCCUUACG
rnacentral:rRNA from 1 species